UACGGAGGGUGCAAGCGUUGUCCGGAAUCACUGGGCGGAAAGGGCGCGUAGGCGGCUCAUGAAGGCUGUGGUGAAAGUCCGGGGCUCAACCUCGGAUCGGCCGUGGCGACUCGUGGGCUGGAGCACUGUAGAGGCGGGUGGGAUUCCGGGUGUAGCGGUGGAAUGCGUAGAGAUCCGGAAGAACACCAGUGGCGAAGGCGGCCCGCUGGGCAGUGGCUGACGCUGAGGCGCGACAGCGUGGGGAGCAAACAGG
rnacentral:rRNA from 1 species